rnacentral:rRNA from 1 species
AGAUUGAACGCUGGCGGCAUGCCUUACACAUGCAAGUCGAACGGCAGCACGGGAGCAAUCCUGGUGGCGAGUGGCGAACGGGUGAGUAAUAUAUCGGAACGUGCCCAGUCGUGGGGGAUAACGUAGAGAAAUUUACGCUAAUACCGCAUACGAUCCAAGGAUGAAAGCGGGGGACCGUAAGGCCUCGCGCGACUGGAGCGGCUGAUAUCAGAUUAGCUUGUUGGUGAGGUAAAAGCUCACCAAGGCGACGAUCUGUAGCUGGUUUGAGAGAACGACCAGCCACACUGGGACUGAGACACGGCCCAGACUCCUACGGGAGGCAGCAGUGGGAAUUUUGGACAAUGGGCGAAAGCCUGAUCCAGCAAUGCCGCUUGCAGGAAGAAGGCCUUCGGUUGUAAACUGCUUUGUACGGAGCGAAAAGGUCUGCCCUAAUACGGCGGACCCAUGACGGUACCGUAAGAAUAAGCACCGGCUAACUACGUGCCAGCAGCCUA